AGCGAACGCUGGCGGCAGGCUUAACACAUGCAAGUCGAACGGGCACUUCGGUGUCAGUGGCAGACGGGUGAGUAACGCGUGGGAACAUACCUCUUGGUUCGGAACAACACAGGGAAACUUGUGCUAAUACCGGAUAAGCCCUUACGGGGAAAGAUUUAUCGCCGAGAGAUUGGCCCGCGUCUGAUUAGCUAGUUGGUGUGGUAAAAGCGCACCAAGGCGACGAUCAGUAGCNGGUCUGAGAGGAUGAUCAGCCACAUUGGGACUGAGACACGGCCCAAACUCCUACGGGAGGCAGCAGUGGGGAAUAUUGGACAAUGGGCGCAAGCCUGAUCCAGCCAUGCCGCGUGAGUGAUGAAGGCCCUAGGGUUGUAAAGCUCUUUUGUACGGGAANAUAAUGACGGUACCGUAAGAAUAAGCCCCGGCUAACUUCGUGCCAGCCGCCGCU
rnacentral:rRNA from 1 species